GGAAACGGAGAAACAACAACUGCAAAAACAGCAGUCUCUCGCUGUUGUUUUCACUUCUUUCAGAAACAGUUUAGUGUCUUCGAAAAACUCCGUUAGCAUCCCGUUUUCAGAAAAGCAGUGAAAAAAUAACCCCUCUACAACAGAGGGGAAGCUCCGAAGAUUUCAGCAUUUCUGAAGGAAGCUGCUGACAGAAGAAGGAAACACAGGUGAGCUGAGGAAACUCACCAAAUAACUCCAUAUCCAUUUUUUUUCCCACAAUAUUUUUCACCUAUACCAUGCAUCUGUUAUUUUCUUCUUUUUUAUUUUCUCAAUUUUUUUAUUUAUUUAAUUUGUUUUAAGAAGGCUUUGACAUCCAAAUGUAAAUGACACUGUAUGAGCAAUAUUUAAUAAGUAAACCUAAAAACAUAAAUUCUGUUAUUUUCUGUAUAUUCUUCUUUUUCUGCCUUUAGCUUAUUUUAUUUUAAUAAACCUGGCAUUGUAUAAUAAUAUUGUUGGCUCUGUG